GAUGAACGCUGGCGGCGUGCCUAAUACAUGCAAGUCGAACGCAUCCCGUUAAAUGAAGUGCUUGCACGGAUUUUAACAUUGGAUGAGUGGCGAACUGGUGAGUAACACGUGGGUAACCUGCCCAGAAGCAGGGGAUAACACUUGGAAACAGGUGCUAAUACCGUAUAACAACAAAAACCGCAUGGCUUUUUCUGUAAGGUAGGUUUCGGGUCGUACUACACUUCUUGGUAGUGGACCCGGCCGGCGG
rnacentral:rRNA from 1 species